GUCUACGGCCAUACCACCCUGAACGCGCCCGAUCUCGUCUGAUCUCGGAAGACAUGUGUAGGUUCUAAAUCGUAUUAUUAUGAUUUGUUCAGUGAUGUAUAUG
rnacentral:rRNA from 1 species